GAUGAAGAACGUAGCGAAAUGCGAUAAGUAGUGUGAAUUGCAGAAUUCAGUGAAUCAUCGAAUCUUUGAACGCACAUUGCGCCCUUUGGUAUUCCUUAGGGCAUGCCUGUUCGAGCGUCAUUUAAACCUUCAAGCUCAGCUUGGUGUUGGGUGACUGUCCGCCGCCUCCGGGCGGUCGGACUCGCCUCAAAUUGAUUGGCGGCCGGUACUUUGGCUUCGAGCGCAGCAGAAACGCGAACUCGAGGCCGCCGUCCUGGCUCCCAGAAGCUAUCUUCACAAUUUUGACCUCGGAUCAGGUAGGGAUACCCGCUGAACUUAAGCAUAUCAAUAAGCGGAGGA
rnacentral:misc_RNA from 1 species